rnacentral:rRNA from 1 species
UACGUAGGGUGCGAGCGUUAAUCGGGAUUACUGGGCGUAAAGCGUGCGCAGGCGGCGCGUUAAGACAGGUGUGAAAGCCCCGAGCUUAACUUGGGAAUUGCGCCUGUGACUGGCGUGCUGGAGUGUGGCAGAGGGAGGUGGAAUUCCACGUGUAGCAGUGAAAUGCGUAGAGAUGUGGAGGAACACCGAUGGCGAAGGCAGCCUCCUGGGCCAGCACUGACGCUCAUGCACGAAAGCGUGGGGAGCAAACAGG